CCUACGGGGGGCUGCAGUGGGGAAUAUUGGACAAUGGGCGCAAGCCUGAUCCAGCAAUGCCGCGUGUGUGAAGAAGGCCUUCGGGUUGUAAAGCACUUUUAUCAGGAGCGAAAUACUACCGGCUAAUACCCGGUGGGGCUGACGGUACCUGAGGAAUAAGCACCGGCUAAUUUCGUGCCAGCAGCCGCGGUAAUACGAAGGGUACAAGCGUUAAUCGGAAUUACUGGGCGUAAAGCGUGAGGAGGGGUGUGAAAGCCCCGGGCUCAACCUGGGAAUGGCAGUGGAUACUGGCAAGCUAGAGUGUGUCAGAGGAUGGUGGAAUUCCCGGUGUAGCGGUGAAAUGCGUAGAGAUCGGGAGGAACAUCAGUGGCGAAGGCGGCCAUCUGGGACAACACUGACGCUGAGGCACGAAAGCGUGGGGAGCAAACAGGAUUAGAUACCCCUGUAGUC
rnacentral:rRNA from 1 species